rnacentral:misc_RNA from 1 species
GUGAAUCAUCAAAUUUUUGAACGCAAAUUGCACUCCCUGGUAUUCCGGGAGUAAGGCUGUUUGAGGGUCGUUUGAAUAAAAAAUCGAUGCGUCGGUCUUUUUUUUUAGGGUGGUCGCGUCGGAAUUUAGCCGGCUUUCAAAUGUUAAUUUAUUUUAAAGUGGGUUGAAAUUUAUUCAUUCGGUUAGAAUGAAGGGUAAUUAAGAUCAAUUUUGAAUUAGAACGCG